rnacentral:rRNA from 1 species
UGGGGAAUAUUGCACAAUGGGCGCAAGCCUGAUGCAGCCAUGCCGCGUGUAUGAAGAAGGCCUUCGGGUUGUAAAGUACUUUCAGUCGGGAGGAAGGUGGUAAGGUUAAUAACCUUAUCAAUUGACGUUACCGACAGAAGAAGCACCGGCUAACUCCGUGCCAGCAGCCGCGGUAAUACGGAGGGUGCAAGCGUUAAUCGGAAUUACUGGGCGUAAAGCGCACGCAGGCGGUCUGUCAAGUCGGAUGUGAAAUCCCCGGGCUCAACCUGGGAACUGCAUUCGAAACUGGCAGGCUAGAGUCUUGUAGAGGGGGGUAGAAGUCCAGGUGUAGCGGUGAAAUGCGGAGAGAUCUGGAGGAAUACCGGUGGCGAAGGCGGCCCCCUGGACGAAGACUGACGCUCAGGUGCGAAAGCGUGGGGAGCAAACAGG